rfam:Capsicum annuum cultivar Zunla-1 chromosome 4, whole genome shotgun sequence
AUCUCAUGGUUUGGGAAUUUGGCUAACUUCCUAUGAAAUCUCUCCCAUGUUUCAUGAAAUGGAUCCCCAUACCUUUGUUUAAAGUUCAUGAUUUUAUUUCUUAAGUG